CAGUGCGGCAGGCCCUUAUACAUGCAAGUCGAGCGCAUCCUUCGGGAUGAGCGGCGGACGGGUGAGUAAUGCGAGGGAAUGUGCCCUUCUCUACGGAAUAGCCACUGGAAACGGUGAGUAAUACCGUAUACGCCCUCAGGGGGAAAGAUUUAUCGGAGAAGGAUCAGCCCGCGCUAGAUUAGGUAGUUGGUGGGGUAAUGGCCUACCAAGCCUACGAUCUAUAGCUGGUUUUAGAGGAUGAUCAGCAACACUGGGACUGGGACACGGCCCAGACUCCUACGGGAGGCAGCAGUGGGGAAUCUUAGACAAUGGGGGCAACCCUGAUCUAGCCAUGCCGCGUGAGUGAUGAAGGCCUUAGGGUCGUAAAGCUCUUUCGCCUGUGAUGAUAAUGACAGUAGCAGGUAAAGAAACCCCGGCUAACUCCGUGCCAGCAGCCGCGGUAAUACGGAGGGGGUUAGCGUUGUUCGGAAUUACUGGGCGUAAAGCGCGCGUAGGCGGAUUAGAAAGUUGGGGGUGAAAUCCCGGGGCUCAACCCCGGAACUGCCUCCAAAACUGCUAGUCUAGAGUUCGAGAGAGGUGAGUGGAAUUCCGAGUGUAGAGGUGAAAUUCGUAGAUAUUCGGAGGAACACCAGUGGCGAAGGCGGCUCACUGGCUCGAUACUGACGCUGAGGUGCGAAAGUGUGGGGAGCAAACAGGAUUAGAUACCCUGGUAGUCCACACCGUAAACGAUGAAUGCCAGUCGUCGGGAUAGUAUAC
rnacentral:rRNA from 1 species